rnacentral:rRNA from 1 species
UGGGGAAUCUUCCGCAAUGGACGAAAGUCUGACGGAGCAACGCCGCGUGAGUGAUGAAGGAUUUCGGUCUGUAAAGCUCUGUUGUUUAUGACGAACGUGCAGUGUGUGAACAAUGCAUUGCAAUGACGGUAGUAAACGAGGAAGCCACGGCUAACUACGUGCCAGCAGCCGCGGUAAUACGUAGGUGGCGAGCGUUGUCCGGAAUUAUUGGGCGUAAAGAGCAUGUAGGCGGCUUAAUAAGUCGAGCGUGAAAAUGCGGGGCUCAACCCCGUAUGGCGCUGGAAACUGUUAGGCUUGAGUGCAGGAGAGGAAAGGGGAAUUCCCAGUGUAGCGGUGAAAUGCGUAGAUAUUGGGAGGAACACCAGUGGCGAAGGCGCCUUUCUGGACUGUGUCUGACGCUGAGAUGCGAAAGCCAGGGUAGCGAACGGGAUUAGAUACCCCGGUAGUCCUGGCCGUAAACGAUGGGUACUAGGUGUAGGAGGUAUCGACCCCUUCUGUGCCGGAGUUAACGCAAUAAGUACCCCGCCUGGGGAGUACGGCCGCAAGGUUG